CUACGGGGUGCAGCAGUGGGGAAUAUUGCACAAUGGGCGCAAGCCUGAUGCAGCCAUGCCGCGUGUAUGAAGAAGGCCUUCGGGUUGUAAAGUACUUUCAGCGGGGAGGAAGGGAGUAAAGUUAAUACCUUUGCUCAUUGACGUUACCCGCAGAAGAAGCACCGGCUAACUCCGUGCCAGCAGCCGCGGUAAUACGGAGGGUGCAAGCGUUAAUCGGAAUUACUGGGCGUAAAGCGCACGCAGGCGGUUUGUUAAGUCAGAUGUGAAAGCCCCGGGCGCAACCUGGGAACUGCAUCUGAUACUGGCGAGCUGGAGUCUCGUAGAGGGGGGUAGAAUUCCAGGUGUAGCGGUGAAAUGCGUAGAGAUCUGGAGGAAUACCGGUGGCGAAGGCGGCCCCCUGGACGAAGACUGACGCUCAGGUGCGAAAGCGUGGGGAGCAAACAGGAUUAGAUACCCUUGUAGUC
rnacentral:rRNA from 1 species